rnacentral:rRNA from 1 species
GAUGAACGCUGGCGGCGUGCUUAACACAUGCAAGUCGAACGAUGAAGCUCAGCUUGCUGGGUGGAUUAGUGGCGAACGGGUGAGUAACACGUGAGUAACCUGCCCUUAACUCUGGGAUAAGCCUGGGAAACUAGGUCUAAUACCGGAUAGGAGCGCCUACCGCAUGGUGGGUGUUGGAAAGAUUUAUCGGUUUUGGAUGGACUCGCGGCCUAUCAGCUUGUUGGUGGGGUAAUGGCUCACCAAGGCGACGACGGGUAGCCGGCCUGAGAGGGUGACCGGCCACACUGGGACUGAGACACGGCCCAGACUCCUACGGGAGGCAGCAGUGGGGAAUAUUGCACAAUGGGCGAAAGCCUGAUGCAGCGACGCCGCGUGAGGGAUGACGGCCUUCGGGUUGUAAACCUCUUUCAGUAGGGAAGAAGCGAAAGUGACGGUACCUGCAGGAGAAGCACCGGCUAACUACGUG